GAUAUCCCGGUUUAGUUGGAAGUAGGCGAUGGGUAGGCAAAUCCGCCCGUCAUAUACCGAGGCCAACGAUCGAGCCAGCUUGCUGGUGAAGUGACUGAACGAGGUUCCAGGAAAAGCCACUAAGCUUCAGCUAUACACGACCGUACCGCAAACCGACACUGGUGCGCGAGAUGAGUAUUCUAAGGCGCUUGAGAGAACUCAGGAGAAGGAACUCGGCAAAUUGACACCGUAACUUCGGAAGAAGGUGUGCCCUAUUAGUGUGAAGUGAACAACGGAGCAUGAAUGGGUUGCAAAAAAUCGGUGGCUGCGACUGUUUAUUAAAAACACAGCACUCUGCAAACACGAAAGUGGACGUAUAGGGUGUGACGCCUGCCCGGUGCUGGAAGAUUAAAUGAUGGGGUGCAAGCUCUUGAUUGAAGUCCCAGUAAACGGCGGCCGUAACAAUAACGGUCCUAAGGUAGCGAAAUUCCUUGUCGGGUAAGUUCCGACCUGCACGAAUGGCGUAACGAUGGCCACACUGUCUCCUCCUGAGACUCAGCGAAGUUGAAAUGUUUGUGAUGAUGCAAUCUCCCCGCGGAAAGACGGAAAGACCCCAUGAACCUUUACUGUAGCUUUGUAUUGGACUUUGAACAGAUCUGUGUAGGAUAGGUGGGAGGCUUUGAAGCAGGGUCGCUAGAUCUUGUGGAGCCAACGUUGAAAUACCACCCUGGUGUGUUUGAGGUUCUAACCUAGGUCCAUUAUCUGGAUCGGGGACAGUGCAUGGUAGGCAGUUUGACUGGGGCGGUCUCCUCCCAAAGCGUAACGGAGGAGUUCGAAGGUACGCUAGUUACGGUCGGACAUCGUGACGAUAGUGCAAUGGCAUAAGCGUGCUUAACUGCGAGACUGACAAGUCGAGCAGAUGCGAAAGCAGGACAUAGUGAUCCGGUGGUUCUGUAUGGAAGGGCCAUCGCUCAACGGAUAAAAGGUACUCUGGGGAUAACAGGCUGAUACCGCCCAAGAGUUCAUAUCGACGGCGGUGUUUGGCACCUCGAUGUCGGCUCAUCUCAUCCUGGGGCUGUAGCCGGUCCCAAGGGUAUGGCUGUUCGCCAUUUAAAGAGGUACGUGAGCUGGGUUUAAAACGUCGUGAGACAGUUUGGUCCCUAUCUUCCGUGGGCGCUGCAGAUUUGAGGAAGCCUGCUCCUAGUACGAGAGGACCGGAGUGGACACACCUCUGGUGUAUCGGUUGUCACGCCAGUGGCAUUGCCGAGUAGCUAAGUGUGGAAGAGAUAACCGCUGAAAGCAUCUAAGCGGGAAACUCGUUUCAAGAUGAGAUCUGCCGGGGCCUUGAGCCCCCUGAAGAGUCGUUCAAGACCAGGACGUUGAUAGGUCAGGUGUGGAAGCGCAGUAAUGCGUUAAGCUAACUGAUACUAAUUGCUCGUGCGGCUUGACCCU
rnacentral:rRNA from 1 species